GGAGCUUUAACAUGCAGUCGAACGGCAGCACGAGAGAGCUUGCUCUCUUGGUGGCGAGUGGCGGACGGGUGAGUAAUAUAUCGGAACGUGCCUAGUAGCGGGGGAUAACUACUCGAAAGAGUGGCUAAUACCGCAUACGCCCUACGGGGGAAAGGGGGGGAUCGCAAGACCUCUCACUAUUAGAGCGGCCGAUAUCGGAUUAGCUAGUUGGUGGGGUAAAGGCUCACCAAGGCAACGAUCCGUAGCUGGUUUGAGAGGACGACCAGCCACACUGGGACUGAGACACGGCCCAGACUCCUACAGGAGGCAGCAGUGGGGAAUUUUGGACAAUGGGGGAAACCCUGAUCCAGCCAUCCCGCGUGUAUGAUGAAGGCCUUCGGGUUGUAAAGUACUUUUGGCAGAGAAGAAAAGGUACCUCCUAAUACGAGGUACUGCUGACGGUAUCUGCAGAAUAAGCACCGGCUAACUACGUGCCAGCAGCCGCGGUAAUACGUAGGGUGCAAGCGUUAAUCGGAAUUACUGGGCGUAAAGCGUGUGUAGGCGGUUCGGAAAGAAAGAUGUGAAAUCCCAGGGCUUAACCUUGGAACUGCAUUUUUAACUGCCGAGCUAGAGUAUGUCAGAGGGGGGUAGAAUUCCACGUGUAGCAGUGAAAUGCGUAGAUAUGUGGAGGAAUACCGAUGGCGAAGGCAGCCCCCUGGGAUAAUACUGACGCUCAGACACGAAAGCGUGGGGAGCAAACAGGAUUAGAUACCCUGGUAGUCCACGCCCUAAACGAUGUCAACUAGCUGUUGGGGCCGUUAGGCCUUAGUAGCGCAGCUAACGCGUGAAGUUGACCGCCUGGGGAGUACGGUCGCAAGAUUAAAACUCAAAGGAAUUGACGGGGACCCGCACAGCGGUGGAUGAUGUGGAUUAAUUCGAUGCAACGCGAAAACCUUACCUAC
rnacentral:rRNA from 1 species